rnacentral:rRNA from 1 species
AGACAUAACCAUGCCGUCUAAGUACAAACUAAAUGAUGGUGAAACUGCAAAUGGCUCAUUACAACGGUUAUGAUGUACCCGGGAGUUCCGAUGGAUAUUUCCAGUAACACUAGAACUAAUACAUGCUCCUGCGUUUAUUAGUUUCGCACAGUCCGUCGCUGAGUCGUGGUAAACAGUUGAUCGACUCGACGUCCCGGAACAGUUUCCGCCCCAUCAGCUUCGAUGGUUGGGUAUUGGCCUACCAUUGCAACAACGGGUAACGAGGAAUUAGGGUUUGAUUUCGGAGAGGGAGCCUGAGAAACGGCUACCACAUCUACGGAUGGCAGCAGGCGCGCAAAUUACCCAAUGCAGACUCUGUGAGGUAGUGACGAGAAAUAAUAAAGCGGGACUUCUGUUUCGCUAUUAUAAUGAGGAAUAACCAAAGGUCAUUCCGAUUAGCAACUGAUGGGAAAGUCUGGUGCCAGCAGCCGCGGUAAUACCAGCGUCAGUAGCAUAUAUUAAAAUUGUUGCAGUUAAAACGUCCGUAGUCUGUACGUCGUCCCAAACUCACUGCAGUCUUCCGUUUUCUUCAUUGAAUGCGGUAGUUUCUGCAGUCACUCCCUUGAUCAAAUUAGGUUGUUCAAGGUAGACCAAGUCUUCAUAUUUUCACAUGGAAUUGGGUGAGGGAACUUAAGAGUUUAAGUUUCUCGUCUUANGAUCAUCCGGGGUCAUUCGUACUCGUCCGCGAGAGGUGAAAUUCUUGGACCGGACGAAGACGACCAGCAGCGAAAGCAUCUGUCAGGGAUGUUUUCUGCGACAAAGGACGAAGUCAGGGUAUCGAAGACGAUUAGAUACCGUCGUANAUCCUGACUGUGAAACUAUGCCAACUUGGGUCUUGCUGGGGCGAUGCUUUGUGAGACCCACACAGAAAUGAAAGUGU